rnacentral:misc_RNA from 1 species
UGGGUUUGACAUAUACCGGAAAGCCGUAGAGAUACGGCCCCCCUUGUGGUCGGUAUACAGGUGGUGCAUGGCUGUCGCCAGCUCGUGUCGUGAGAUGUUGCGGCACUUAAGCCAACACCUCACGGCACGAGCUGACGACAGCCAUGCAGCACCUGUGCUAGCCCCUUACGGACACGGGCUUUCACAGGGUUUAACCAGCAUGUCAAGCCCAGGUAAGGUUCUUCGCGUUGCAUCGAAUUAAGCCACAUGCUCCGCCGCUUGUGCGGGUCCCCGUCAAUUCCUUUGAGUUUUAGCCUUGCGGCCGUACUCCCCAGGCGGAGUGCUUAAUGCGUUAGCUGCGGCACAGAGAGGGUUGAAGACCUCCCCACACCUAGCACUCAACGUUUACGGCUGGGACUAC